UCAAUUUUUGACUCUUCAUCUUAUUAAAAAAAAUUUUACGAUUGAUAUUUUUGUUUUUAUUAGAUGAUAAAUCAUGAAUAAUACUUUACGUGUGAUUAAUUUUUUUCUAAUUUCUUAAAUCUUUUUCAAAUAAAACGAAUGGUCAAACGUUCGACACGGAAACCGGAG
rnacentral:pre_miRNA from 1 species